CCUACGGGAGGCAGCAGUAGGGAAUAUUGCUCAAUGGGGGAAACCCUGUAGCAGCAACGCCGCGUGGGGGAUGAAGGUUUUCGGAUUGUAAACUCCUUUUGUUAGAGAAGAUAAUGACGGUAUCUAACGAAUAAGCACCGGCUAACUCCGUGCCAGCAGCCGCGGUAAUACGGAGGGUGCAAGCGUUACUCGGAAUCACUGGGCGUAAAGAGCGCGUAGGCGGGAGAGCAAGUCAGAUGUGAAAUCCUAGGGCUUAACCAUAGAACUGCAUUUGAAACUGUUAUUCUAGAGUAUGGGAGAGGUAGGUGGAAUUCUUGGUGUAGGGGUAAAAUCCGUAGAGAUCAAGAGGAAUACUCAUUGCGAAGGCGACCUGCUAGAACAUAACUGACGCUGAUGCGCGAAAGCGUGGGGAGCAAACAGGAUUAGAUACCCCAGUAGUC
rnacentral:rRNA from 1 species